rnacentral:rRNA from 1 species
AUGGGAUUCAAGGACUUCAGACUCUUCAACCAAGCAAUGUUAGCUCGGCAAGCAUGGCGUAUUUUGGUCAACCCGGAAUGUCUUUGUACGCGCGUCUUGAAGGCAAGGUAUUUCCCUAAUGGACGAUUAGAAGAUACUGUUUUCACUAGCAACGCGUCGCAAACUUGGCAGGCCAUUGUGCAUGGGUUGGAAUUGCUGAAGAAAGGCUUAGUCUGGCGCAUCGGUAACGGGCAGUCGGUCCGAAUUUGGCGGGACUCCUGGAUACCACACCCUAUUGGUCGGCCACCAAUUACCCAACAGGGAAGGUGCUGUCUCCGCCGAGUCUCAAAGCUACUAGACGAGCAUGGUGCAUGGCGCGGAACCCUACUUCAACAGUACUUUUUGCCCGUUGAUGUUCAGGAGAUACUAAAGAUUAAAGCGUCCCCUCGGCUGGGGGCAGAUUUCCUUGCAUGGGGUGUAGAACGUACUGGUAUCUUCACCGUACGUAGCGCGUACCGGCUGGCGCUUGAGGACAAGCUUUGUCCCUCUUCAGUCGCAGCGAGCAGGGCACCGGACGGGCGACGUGCCGUCUGGGCAUUAUUAUGGAGGUGCCCUGCUCCUCCUAAGGUGCGUGUGUUUGCAUCGCGUUUGGCUACUAACUCCCUUGCCACAUGGUCUAAUAAAUUCAGUCGACACAUGGAGGUUACUGAUAUAUGCCCAUUAUGUGGUCUCGAGCGCGAGGACACUUUUCAUGUGUUUUGCAGGUGCCCUCGGGCGGUGCAUUUGUGGCGGACUAUGGCGGAGGUGUGGAGUAUACCGGACAUCGAGUCAGUCCGUAACACCGGCCCAAAGUGGCUCCUGAACCUAAUUGCAGAAAGCAAUGAAGGGGACCGGCUGCGCCUGAUUAUGCUGUUGUGGAGAUGUUGGCAUGUGUGCAACGAGAUCACUCAUGACAAACUGGCGCCGCCUGUGGAGGUAUCCCGUCGCUUUUUGCAGAGCUACGUAACCUCACUGCUCGGGAUCCAGCAGUAUCCACAGGGAGAUUGGGACAAAGGGAAGAUGACCAUCCAACAAGAAGGUGCAGAACAACCUAUAUCACAUGUGGGAGGUGUGCCACGAAUAGUCCACAAAUGGAGUCCCCCACCCGCCAACUGGACGAAGCUGAAUGUCGAUGGCUCCUUUUCCCAUGAUGAUGGGAGGGCCGGGACGGGAAUGGUGCUUCAUGACCAGGAAGGGGCCAUUAUUUUCUCCGUGUGUCGCUCGCUAUGGUCUUGCCCGGACCCUAUACAUGCUGAGCUGGCUGGGUGCAUGGAGGGCAUAGCUUUGGCCCUCCAAUGGACGGAGUUGCCGUUUAUCGCCGAGUGCGAUAGUCUGCAGGCAGUGCAACUGAUAAAUGCCUCAGGAGAAGACCGCUCGCAGUAUGCCAUGGUGGUCUCGGAAGUGAAGCUUCUUAUGAGUGAAAGGGAGUGUCAUGUUAUUCAUAUUUCUCGAGAGCAGAAUAAUGUAAGCCAUGCGUUGGCGAACUUUGGAAGGACGGAGGACCGUACUGUGGUCUGGCUCCGCUCCGGCCCGGACAAUAUCCCUAGCUUGUGUAGGGAGGACCUUCUUGGCUCUUGA